rnacentral:rRNA from 1 species
GCUGUUUCGCUGACGAGUGGCGGACGGGUGAGUAAUGUCUGGGAAACUGCCUGAUGGAGGGGGAUAACUACUGGAAACGGUAGCUAAUACCGCAUAAUGUCGCAAGACCAAAGAGGGGGACCUUCGGGCCUCUUGCCAUCGGAUGUGCCCAGAUGGGAUUAGCUUGUUGGUGGGGUAACGGCUCACCAAGGCGACGAUCCCUAGCUGGUCUGAGAGGAUGACCAGCCACACUGGAACUGAGACACGGUCCAGACUCCUACGGGAGGCAGCAGUGGGGAAUAUUGCACAAUGGGCGCAAGCCUGAUGCAGCCAUGCCGCGUGUAUGAAGAAGGCCUUCGGGUUGUAAAGUACUUUCAGCGGGGAGGAAGGGAGUAAAGUUAAUACCUUUGCUCAUUGACGUUAUCCGCAGAAGAAGCACCGGCUAACUCCGUGCCAGCAGCCGCGGUAAUACGGAGGGUGCAAGCGUUAAUCGGAAUUACUGGGCGUAAAGCGCACGCAGGCGGUUUGUUAAGUCAGAUGUGAAAUCCCCGGGCUCAACCUGGGAACUGCAUCUGAUACUGGCAAGCUUGAGUCUCGUAGAGGGGGGUAGAAUUCCAGGUGUAGCGGUGAAAUGCGUAGAGAUCUGGAGGAAUACCGGUGGCGAAGGCGGCCCCCUGGACGAAGACUGACGCUCAGGUGCGAAAGCGUGGGGAGCAAACAGGAUUAGAUACCCUGGUAGUCCACGCCGUAAACGAUGUCGACUUGGAGGUUGUGCCCUUGAGGCGUGGCUUCCGGAGCUAACGCGUUAAGUCGACCGCCUGGGGAGUACGGCCGCAAGGUUAAAACUCAAAUGAAUUGACGGGGGCCCGCACAAGCGGUGGAGCAUGUGGUUUAAUUCGAUGCAACGCGAAGAACCUUACCUGGUCUUGACAUCCACGGAAGUUUUCAGAGAUGAGAAUGUGCCUUCGGGAACCGUGAGACAGGUGCUGCAUGGCUGUCGUCAGCUCGUGUUGUGAAAUGUUGGGUUAAGUCCCGCAACGAGCGCAACCCUUAUCCUUUGUUGCCAGCGGUCCGGCCGGGAACUCAAAGGAGACUGCCAGUGAUAAACUGGAGGAAGGUGGGGAUGACGUCAAGUCAUCAUGGCCCUUACGACCAGGGCUACACACGUGCUACAAUGGCGCAUACAAAGAGAAGCGACCUCGCGAGAGCAAGCGGACCUCAUAAAGUGCGUCGUAGUCCGGAUUGGAGUCUGCAACUCGACUCCAUGAAGUCGGAAUCGCUAGUAAUCGUGGAUCAGAAUGCCACGGUGAAUACGUUCCCGGGCCUUGUACACACCGCCCGUCACACCAUGGGAGUGGGUUGCAAAAGAAGUAGGUAGCUUAACCUUCGGGAGGGCGCUUACCACUUUGUGAUUCAUGACUGGGGUGAAGUCGUAACAAGGUAACCGUAGGGGAACCUGCGGUUG